rnacentral:rRNA from 1 species
UAUGGGUUAGUGGCGGACGGGUGAGUAACGCGUGGGUAACCUGCCUUACACAGGGGGAUAACACCUGGAAACAGGUGCUAAUACCGCAUAAGCGCACAGGGCCGCAUGGCCCGGUGUGAAAAACUCCGGUGGUGUAAGAUGGACCCGCGUCUGAUUAGCUUGUUGGCGGGGUAGGGGCCCACCAAGGCGACGAUCAGUAGCCGGCCUGAGAGGGUGGACGGCCACAUUGGGACUGAGACACGGCCCAAACUCCUACGGAAGGCAGCAG